GCGCCUGUAGCUCAAUUGGAUAGAGCACCUGACUACGGAUCAGGAGGUU
rnacentral:tRNA from 1 species